CUGCUGCCUUCCGUAGGAGUUUGGUCCGUGUCUCAGUACCAAUGUGGGGGACCUUCCUCUCAGAACCCCUAUCCAUCGUCGGUUUGGUGGGCCGUUACCCCGCCAACUGCCUAAUGGAACGCAUGCCUAUCUAUCAGCGAUGAAUCUUUAGCAAAUAUCCCCAUGCGGGGCCCCUGCUUCAUGCGGUAUUAGUCCGACUUUCGCCGGGUUAUCCCCCUCCUGAUAGGUAAGUUGCAUACGCGUUACUCACCCGUGCGCCGGUCG
rnacentral:rRNA from 1 species